CCUUCUGCUCAGAAAUACAUACAGCAGGGUCUCCUGUCGCCCUCUGCCUCGCCGUAUCACGUCGAUCUGAUCGGCGCUGCAGAAGUCGUGCACAUGCUGCUGUUUAACCACCCGAUGAACGUGAAGCAGGAAAACUCGGCCUGGAGUUUGGAUGAAGGAUCUGGAUCUCAGCACAGCGUUCCCGUCGAGUCUUUCUGGAAAGACUUUUUCCACAUGAUUUUGAAUCCAGGACAGAAGUCUUCGGAGCUGGUUUUGUCUGAGCUCAUCAGUAACGUGAGGAACAGCUUGUGAAGUCUGUUGUAAAAUAAUAGCAUAUGAAUUGGUGGCUAUGUAUGUUUUAUAUUGCUUUUUAUACACAUUUAAUAAACAAUUUUUGCAACGUAA